GCGUACCACUUAGACUCCGUAAUUUGUUUAACGCGUUAUCAAUAAUUUGAAACGUAUAUUCGACUCUAGUGUUUUGUAUGCGCGAUAAUUAACCGUGCGGUCGAAUGUUUUUCAAUUACGCUCUGAUCGCCGUGUUAUGUUUGUAAUAUUAUAAUACCGUAUGAUUCUCAAUCGUAUAUUUAAUUCACAGCUUGAAAAUCACGUCAAUUUCCGUAUCCCGUACAUUUCAACGUUUGACAUUUCAUUAUGUUUCACACUUAUUUAAUGCGUUGAAACUCUCAUCAAUGUCACGCCCGUAACGGUAUGAAUUAUGAUUUUCACUAUAAUAAACUUCGAUCCCGACCGGCAUCAUAAGAAUAUCAAUCUUAUUGUUCUACGCGUUUAUCGACGGUGGCUUGUUAAAAGUCGGUAAUGCCGACUAAACGACAUCCAGGCGCCCUUAUAAAAUAUAAUUAAAUCAACAAUAUUUUGUUGAAAGGGCGUACGAAAUUCAACGCGCGUUCAGUGUACACUGUGUGCAUGUGUUAUUGCGUGCGCGAUCAAUAUUAUUGUUCUCUAUAAUAAAUGCCGUUAAAAACCGUUUCGCUGUUUUCUUUUGCAAAACAUUUUUUUUUUUUUUUUUUUUUGCUUUUUGAAAAAAGUGAAAUUUGAUCCAGGACCUGAUUUCGUACCUUUUGCUCGACAAAACAACCACGUUUUUUUUCUAUAAAAAGCAAUCAGUUCAAUGUACCGUUCUUUAAACAGGAAUUCGUUCCAGGAGUCCGUUCCUUUUGGAACUCGCAUUCCUUCCAAACGCCGUCUGAAACAUACUCGUUAUACACGUACGUGUGUAAUAUUUAUUAGGCGCCCUAUAUUCGUAUAAGUGAUGUUUGUAUUGUUAUUUGCACGGGGUCGUGAAUAUCGUCCGCGUCAUAUACGGAACGGAAAGUUUACCGUCAUCACUACAUUAGGGUUUCUAUUCACUGCAGGUGCGUUUCCCGCCGACGCGUCUACUUUUGGAUAUCCAAAUCGAACAAAGGACGAUCGUUCGCGCCCGAGUUUCGUACACCGUUUCGUACGGCGAAACCUUAGGAUUAACGGCGCUUUUUGUUCGGGGUUGCAGCCGCGGAAACUCUAAAGCAC